rnacentral:rRNA from 1 species
CCUACGGGUGGCUGCAGUGGGGAAUAUUGCACAAUGGGCGCAAGCCUGAUGCAGCCAUGCCGCGUGUGUGAAGAAGGCCUUCGGGUUGUAAAGCACUUUCAGCGGGGAGGAAGGCGGUGAGGUUAAUAACCUCAUCGAUUGACGUUACCCGCAGAAGAAGCACCGGCUAACUCCGUGCCAGCAGCCGCGGUAAUACGGAGGGUGCAAGCGUUAAUCGGAAUUACUGGGCGUAAAGCGCACGCAGGCGGUCUGUCAAGUCGGAUGUGAAAUCCCCGGGCUCAACCUGGGAACUGCAUUCGAAACUGGCAGGCUAGAGUCUUGUAGAGGGGGGUAGAAUUCCAGGUGUAGCGGUGAAAUGCGUAGAGAUCUGGAGGAAUACCGGUGGCGAAGGCGGCUCCCUGGACAAAGACUGACGCUCAGGUGCGAAAGCGUGGGGAGCAAACAGGAUUAGAUACCCGAGUAGUC